GAGGAGGAGGAGGCAGAGGAGGAGGAGGAGGAGGAGGCAGUGGAGGAGGAGGAGGAGGAGGAGGAACAGCGAGGGGAGAAGAAAGACUGACAAAUGAACACAAUAAAGGCCAGUUAGGUAUUUCUAACAACAAACGUGAAGAUGUAAACUAAUUACAACUGGAAUAAUUGUGUUGAGUGUGUAGGCGGAUGUGUGUGUGUGUGUGUGUUCGGGUGGCUCUGCUGUCUUUGCAUUGGGGACUUAUCUUUGCCCAGCAGGCAGUGUUGCACCAUAUGGUCCAGAGAGAAGAUAUUCCUACAACAACACACACACAGACACAAAGACGCGCAGGGCUCACACAUGAACAUAGACAUGUGCAAAUGAAGAAAAAAAAGUGAUGGAGAGAAGAAGAGGAAGAGAGAGAAAGAUAGUCAUCGACAGGAAGUUUCAAGCACCUGAGAAGAUGACAGCUUGACCCCCUGAGUCCGCCUUCACACAGCUGGCCCUCUAAGAGGGUCCGGGGGGGUCCGGCUGAAGGUCCACUAAGCCCCUCACAGUCCAUAUGGCCAGGGGGGCUUACGCACCCCGCGAUGACACGAGAAGGCGAGCCCAGAGGCUGGAAACGCGGCGCGGAGACAUUCAGAGAUGUGCGCUCAUGUGCGACACACUCUAGGAAAGGCCUCAUUUGUGUGAGCCCACGCACAUGUUUGGAUAACCACUUGUCUGGCUGCAAGGCGAGAGCGGGGGAAACUAACUCUACAGGAUGUGUGGCAUGGUGGAAUGUGUGCGUGUGUGUGUGUGUGUGUCAGGGUAAAUAAAGGAAGAGCAAUAAUGACUGUGAGUCAUAUGAUCCGGCUGCACGGUCAUACUAAUGGCAUUAGCCCCAUCGAGAGACCUGCAGGACUCCUCCUGUCCUUCUUGUCGCUGUGUUUCCUCCUCUCCUCUUCUCAGUUUCCUUCUCCUCGGUCCAACACGUCUUCCUCUCCGUCACUCAGCUUGUUUAUUGAUCUGUUUUAGAUUGUUCUAGACACACUGCCGCUGCAACUAUUAGGACUACCCACCUUUUUAAUUAGAU
ensembl:lncRNA